rnacentral:rRNA from 1 species
AGUGAACGCUGGCGGUAGGCCUAACACAUGCAAGUCGAACGGCAGCACAGUAAGAGCUUGCUCUUACGGGUGGCGAGUGGCGGACGGGUGAGGAAUACAUCGGAAUCUACUUUUUCGUGGGGGAUAACGUAGGGAAACUUACGCUAAUACCGCAUGCGACCUACGGGUGAAAGCAGGGGAUCUUCGGACCUUGCGCGAUUGAAUGAGCCGAUGUCGGAUUAGCUAGUUGGCGGGGUAAAGGCCCACCAAGGCGACGAUCCGUAGCUGGUCUGAGAGGAUGAUCAGCCACACUGGAACUGAGACACGGUCCCGGCUCCUACGGGAGGCAGCAGUCGGGAAUAUUGGACAAUGGGCGCAAGCCUGAUCCAGCCAUACCGAGUGGGUGAAGAAGGCCUUCGGGUUGUAAAGCCCUUUUGUUGGGAAAGAAAAGCAGCAGGUUAAUACCCCGCUGUUCUGACGGUACCCAAAGAAUAAGCACCGGCUAACUUCGUG